rnacentral:rRNA from 1 species
UACGAAGGGGCUAGCGUUGCUCGGAAUCACUGGGCGUAAAGGGUGCGUAGGCGGGUCUUUAAGUCAGGGUGAAAUCCUGGAGCUCAACUCCAGAACUGCCUUUGAUACUGAAGAUCUUGAGUUCGGGAGAGGUGAGUGGAACUGCGAGUGUAGAGGUGAAAUUCGUAGAUAUUCGCAAGAACACCAGUGGCGAAGGCGGCUCACUGGCCCGAUACUGACGCUGAGGCACGAAAGCGUGGGGAGCAAACAGG